rnacentral:lncRNA from 1 species
CCCAGAGGCUUUGGUCGUGGUCAACACGAACAGGAUGGUAAGUCUUAUUAUGAUAUAGUUGUUAGAUAUUUUUAUCCAUUUAUUAUAAGCUAUCGUGACUAAUAUUUUUAAUUAUAUUUUUCAGCCGAGCUCCCUAAGAAAAGAAGAGGCCUAGCAAAAAACAUUCAACUAUCAAAGAUAAUACGGGCAAACAAGGGAAAGCCUGUAGAUUUGGAUUUCGAUAGGGAGCUGACAUAUUCCCCUGUCGGGAACCAUGGUAAUUGGUUUACCCGUGAGAUUGGGAAGUAUAUAUGGAUGAACAUCCCUUUGAACGUAUCUGGUUGGGACAAUGUUUCCCCCGCUUUAAGGAAUGCCACAGUGGUUCAUUUAAAGGUAACUUGGAC